rnacentral:rRNA from 1 species
UACAGAGGGUGCGAGCGUUAAUCGGAAUUACUGGGCGUAAAGCGCGCGUAGGCGGCUUUGCAAGUCGAGUGUGAAAUCCCCAGGCUUAACCUGGGAACUGCAUUCGAGACUGCAUAGCUAGAGUAUGGGAGAGGGGGAUGGAAUUCCGCGUGUAGCAGUGAAAUGCGUAGAUAUGCGGAGGAACACCAAUAGCGAAGGCAGCUCGCUGGGACGGUAUUGACGCUAAGGCGCGAAAGCGUGGGGAGCAAACGGG